rnacentral:tRNA from 1 species
GCAUCGGUGGCUUAGUGGUAGAAUGCUCGCCUGCCACGCGGGUGGCCCGGGUUCGAUUCCCGGCCGAUGCA